ACUGUGUCUAAACUAAGUAGCAUAGUGGAACAGUUAAAAGCACCGACUCUGUAGCCAGGCUCCCGGAUUUCUAACCCUGGCAAUCACUGCUCUCCUCCCGGGCCUCAGAACACCUGCAGACACAUUCAACUAUGUUUCUUUUUCUACCCCUUCCCCACUUCCUCCAUAACAGUGUGACAUUAAGCAGAUUACUUAAGGGUAUUUCCUCUUGCUUGAAGGGAGGAGAGGAACAGUGUAUAUUUCAUAGGGCCCUUAUGAGAAGUAUUGAUGGAGAUGGGGAGAAGCAGGGGAAUUUUAACCAGAAGACAUCCUGAAUAUUUAAUUUUAGAGAUGGGCUCAGUUUUGCAAGGAGGCAAACAGGAGCCAGAGGCAGUGUGCACCCUGAGCAGUGAGAACGGCACUACCAAGCUCCUUCCCCAAGAACUACACUCAGUAUCUCAAUGUCAACCCAUCAUGGCUUUGAACUCUGUGAGCAUCUGUGCUUCAUCUUUACUUAUUUUGUGAGUCUGUAAGCAAGAUGUGUCCUAAGCAGGACCAGAGAUGUUACCUACGCAAAACUGAUGGGCAGAGAAGGUCAAAGUUGUGGCUGACAAGCCUUCAUCCUUCCAAGUCAAAGAGUGUGGAAGCCAUUGGAGACCUGGUUCAGAAUCCACGCUCCACUAUUGCCUAACUUUGGAAUGAUGGCGAAGGCUGGAAUGCCAUGACAACUGGAUCUCAGACAUUUUGGAUCAAGAAGAGGAAGCCAAGUAUUGAGAAUUGUGGAGCAGGAAGAUUGAAAAAGUAUGGAUCCCUGAUGAUCUUGUGAACUAUUCUACCAAUGGAGCUGCCAACUCCAGAUAUUUCACAUGGGCAAGAAAUAAACUUCUUUCUUCUUUAAGCCAUUCUUAUUUUUGAGUCUCUGUCACUUGCCAUCAAACUGAAAUCCAAGUCGUUUAGGAACCAUCUAUGGAAAAGAGGUGAUUGAAGAAGAGGGUCACUUGGGAAGAGUAAGGCUGAAGUCCAAGGCUGAGCCCGUGAACCGUGCCCACAGUCAUAGAAGAGGCACUAUCAAAAGAAACUGAAUAGACCAAGUGGUAGGAGUGGCAAGACAGUCAUCAAUGUACAUGCCACAUUGGGUGGUAGUCACGAAUCCUGUUUUCUGGACACCGUGAAUCACUUGAAGCUGGGGACCUUGAAUUCAAAUCCCCAACCCAGCACAGUGGCCACUAAUGCUUGGGUGGAACAAAAGAUGGAAUGGCAAUGUCACACAGCGAAAGGUUUUCAACCAGAGGAAGGCCGUGUCUUCAUCUGAAGUGGAAGGAAAAAAGGAAAGGAAGAGCAGAAUGA